GCGGGAAUAGCUCAGGGGUAGAACACAACCUUGCCAAGGUUGGGGUCGCGGGUUCGAAUCUCGUUUCCCGCUCCA
rnacentral:tRNA from 1 species